rnacentral:misc_RNA from 1 species
GCUUUAGAGUGAGACAAAUAGUAAAGGAUUGAACCCAGCAAUGACACUAACGUUAAAGCUGCUCCGGCAGCAAAAACACCUUUUCGGAGGGUGGCACAUGAUAAGUGUUCACCGCCAAACACUGCCCUGUACUUGGUGUGGUAUGCAUUCCUUGCUGACCCAGCUAACAAACAUGCCUCAGCUCCCAAAAAGCUUACCCUAAACAUUUGUUAUUGUCAAAAUUUACACACCCAUGCUAAGUCUAUAUGAUUGGCAAAAGCUACUAUGGUAUGAUACUAUAGAAGACAGUAAGGUUGUGUUUCAUCUCCUCAAAAAGGAGGAAAAUAUGAAUACAAAUAACUACAUAUCUACUACAAGGAUUUCAUUUUACACCCUCUAAAAUUUAGUUUCACCAUUUUUUUCCUUUCUUAUUUAUAAGUUUAAAUCUUCAAUCAUACAAAUUUGAACCAAAAACCAAAUAAACUUGCUACAAGAUUUCAAAUUCCCCCAAUCUAUAUGAACCCUAAUAAUCAUUCAUUUGUAUCGUGGUUAUGCUAAAUUAGAAAAGCAACAAAAAUUUGACAGUCAAGUAAACUUUUAGACUCCUGAAAUAAUAUUGUCCUAACAACUAUCGCAAGGUUUCGAAUUUGAGUAACAAUAAAAGCCAAAUAAAUGAAAAAAUAAAGCCCUAUGACCAGAGAUCCUAAUUAUUCAAAGACAAAGGAAUGAUGACCUUCCAGAUUCUAGUGCAUUGUUUACACUAAUAAACAGGUGACAGUAUAGUCUGUAACAAGAAAUUUCAUCAUGAGUUGUAUGCGGAAAAUUUUUAAUUUAACUUAAAAUUUUUACAACUUGCACACAUGCAGCUUCACAACUAAUUUUGACAUUAUUAGUCGGUCGGUGGAAGAGAUAAUUUGAGAAGGGACCCAAUUUAUUAUACAAUGAUCAGUCAUAAAUCUUAAUCUACACAGUUGAGAUACUAAUUAGUAAAGUCAGUAUACAACUAAGCAACUACUGAUUACCCAAUUAUGCACAUGUUUGCCAGUAGAAAUUAAUUAGAAUGAUUAAAUUAAGAUUAAGAAAUGCAAAAAAAUUAGAGAGAAAAAGCAGAAAUCAACAAAUUUACCAGGAAAGGAUGAAGAAGAAGAUGGCCAGAGUAGUGGAGGAGCUCCCGCUCAGAAGCCCUUUACCAAAGCAGAGACAUCUGGUAACACCGUUAAUCACAGCUUGGCUUAAUAGCAAUAGCCCGAAAGCUGCCAAUCCAUACACCGUCGACGCGUCCGUCGUGUAUACACAGUAAGUCCUCUCAUCGUAUUGAUCAGGCACCACCUUAGCGUGGCUCCGACGGCGCUCAGCGCCGAUGGCAAGGACAAAGGCUAUGAGGUGGAGAGAAGUGACGAUAGCUAAAAUGGAGACGGAGACGGCCAUUAGUGUAUCUUGGUGGUGUGGUAGGAAAAGCCAGAAGCUGCUUUUGUUACUAAAGUUGGUUUUGGUUUGGAUGGAUAUUUUCCUCCUCCUUUUUGUUCUCCUU